rnacentral:rRNA from 1 species
CAAAAGUGCGCUUGACUGCGAGAGUGACGGCUCGAUCAGGUCCGAAAGUAGGUCUUCGUGAUCCGGUGGUCCCGAAUGGAAGGGUCAUCGCUCAACGGAUAAAAGGUACUCCGGGGAUAACAGGCUAAUUACUCCCAAGAGUUCAUAUCGACGGAGGAGUUUGGCACCUCGAUGUCGGCUCAUCACAUCCUGGGUCUGAAGUAGGUCCCAAGGGUAUGGCUGUUCGCCAUUUUAAGUGGUACGCUAGAUGGGUUCAGAACGUCGUGAGACAGUUCGGUCCCUAUCUGCC